rnacentral:sRNA from 1 species
CUCCGUAGCCCUCCUUGGGCGUUUCCUCCCUUGACUUGGGCCGCUGGCUUCCGGCGGCCCUUUUUUUUGCGCCGC